GAUCAUGGCUCAGGAUGAACGCUAGCUACAGGCUUAACACAUGCAAGUCGAGGGGCAUCAGUUUGGUUUGCUUGCAAACCAAAGCUGGCGACCGGCGCACGGGUGAGUAACACGUAUCCAACCUACCUCAUACUCGGGGAUAGCCUUUCGAAAGAAAGAUUAAUAUCCGAUAGCAUAUAUUUCCCGCAUGGGUUUUAUAUUAAAGAAAUUCGGUAUGAGAUGGGGAGGGUGCGUUCCAUUAGUUUUGG
rnacentral:rRNA from 1 species